rnacentral:rRNA from 1 species
AUGGAGGUGGCGGUGGCGGUAGUGAGCGCUGUGACAAAAAGCGUGGUAUCGAAGCUGAUCACGGUUCUUGAGAAGAGGUACAAGGAGUUGAAGGACCUCGAGGGCGACAUCAGCUUCCUGCAUCGAGAGCUUGCCAUGAUCUGCGGGUCCAUGGAGGUUCAGAUCUCGCACAAGGGGCAGCCCAGCGCGGUAGAGAUCUUAUCCAUGGAAGAAUUCCGCGCCCUGGCACAUAACAUCGAGGACUGCCUGGACCGGUUCCUUCCUUGCGCUGCGUGCGAGGGAGAGCUCCAGAUCCGCAAUCCAAGAAAGUUCUGCCAUGAGAUCGGGAGACUCAAGCGGGAGCUGGAUGCGGCGCAUGAGCGAAAGAUCAGAUACAAUGCAGACUUUUGCUCCGCCGCAGCCGAAUCGGACCUGGACGACAAUCCCGUUGACCAAGAGAAUCCGGGCGCGUACGGGGCUUCUCCUGCGGUGGGCAUCGAGGAAGCAAAGCGGGAGCUUUGCAAGUCCUUAGUUGAUGGUGGCCAAGCUAGCCGCAGGAAGCUGAAGGUGGUCUCCAUCGUCGGAUUUGGGGGCUCGGGCAAAACCGCACUCGCAUGGGAAGUGUACAACUGCCCUCAAGUCGCCGAGCAAUUCAGUUGCCGUGCCUGGGUGACUGUGGCGUCCAAUCAAAUACACGGGGUCGCGGCCAAGGAGGCGCUCUUGACGGCCAUACUUGAGGGGCUUCUCGGAGAAGAAGCACAGGAGUCCGUGCCACAGAAACUCCGACAACUCCAGCAGCAUAUCAGUCGUCUUCUCCAGACUAAGAGGUGUUUAAUUGUAAUUGAUAACAUCAAGAUGGAGCUAUGGGAUGUAAUAAAACCUAUUUUCCCAGAUGAAAAAGGGAGCAGAAUCCUAGUGACCACAACUGUGACCUCAGUAGCUAAUGCCUGCAGCUUGCCUGAUGGUUAUGUGUACAGUAUAAGAUCUCUUAGUGCGGAACAGUCCAAGGAUUAUCUAGACAAGAAUGUUUUCGUCAAUGGAUGCUCACCUGACUUGGAGAGGGGUUCAACUGCAAUCGUGAACAAAUGUGAUGGUCACCCACUUGCUCUUGUUAGUGUUGCCAAAGCUUUGCAAGGUCACAAGUUGACAGGGGAUCUAUGUGAAAAAAUGACCCAUAACCUAUGUUCUCGUAUGGACGAGAACAAGAAUGGCCACUUCACAAAACUGGGGCAAGUUCUUAUGAAUAAUUACAGCAGUUUGCCUGGCAAUUCUCUCAAGACCUGCUUAUUAUACUCGAGUCUAUUCCCAAAUGAUCGCCCAGUCAGCAGGAAAACUCUUACCGGGCGAUGGUUAGCCGAAGGAUACAUAGAUGGUGACCAAGAGAUUGCCGAUAAAAAAUUAGAUGAGCUAAUUGACAGAAAUAUCAUUCUGCCUGUUGAUCCAAGCAACAAUGGGAAAGCCAAGACGUGCAAACCUCACGGUAUCAUGCACCAGUUCAUGCUGCACAAGUCCAUGGCUUCGAAUUUCAUUGCUACUUCUUUGAGUGCUAGGAAUCGAAGUAAUUUCCGUCACCUAAUUAUUGAGAAACAUACAAAUGGCACAGCAUGCAACAUGGGACAUGGUACCAGUCCAGCCGGACGUGGCCGCGACCCCCUGCACAAAUUCUUUUCUUCUUUGAAAGAAAAAGUUGAUAACUUGUUUUCAGGAUCGGCUGGUGAGCAGCUGCGCCCCCGAUCUCUAACAGUCUUCGGGAGUGCGGAAGAAGCCGUUCCAGAUUUGACGAGUUUUGAGCUGCUGAGAGUGUUGGAUCUAAAAGAAUGCAAUGGUUUGAAUGAAGAACAUCUGGGGCACAUAUACAAACUGUUGCAUCUCAAAUAUCUGACACUCGGGAGCUCUGUCAGCAAUCUUUCAGUUCAAAUGGAAAGGCUUCAUUGCUUAGAGACACUUGACUUAAGGAAGACAAAGAUAGAGACACUGCCUGUGGAAGUCAUUAGUCUGCCUCACCUUGCACACCUUUAUGGUAAGAUGAAGCUCAAAAGGAUUAGUGGCAAGAACCAUAAGAGAUUCCUGCAAGGAAAAAGUAAUUUGCAGACUCUAGCAGGAGUUGUUAUAGACAACAACUCUGGAUUUCCAGAACUGAUGGUUCAUAUGAAGAAACUGACAAAGGUCAAGAUAUGGUGCGAGUCCAAUAGCACAGAUUGCAGUUACGCCGUACUUUCAGAGGCCAUUCACAAGUUUGCUCAGGACGGCAUGAGUACUCCAGUAGGCGCACGUUCUUUAUCACUUCACCUGAAUGAUUCCUCCAAAGAUUUGCUGAAUCACCAUCAAGGCGACAACACAAUGGCAGCAUCAAGAAAAGGUUAUCUUAGCUCACUGAAACUGCAAGGCAGCCUGAAUCAGUUCCCUCAGUUUGUUAUGUCCCUUCGUGGUCUGAAAGAGCUGUGCCUUGCAUAUACUAAUCUGACAGGGCCUCAUCUUCUCCUAGGUCUGCGUAAGCUACGGCACUUGGUUUAUCUCAAACUGGUGGAAGUCCACCUUGCGGAUCUAGACAUAAAACAUGGGGAUUUCCCAAGCCUGCAACAUCUAUGCCUCAUGGUGCGAGAACCCAGAUUCCCCACUAUACAAGAAGGAGCUUUGCCUAGACUCACUUCAGUUCAGUUGCUCUGUAAGGGUUUAGUGGGUCUUUGCGAUCACAUCAAAGUGGAAUGUUUAGAUGCUCUUUGCGAAAUCGCUCUGGACUCACAGGUUAAUCAAGAAACGAUAAGACUAUGGCAAAAUGAAGCUAAGAAGCACCCUAAGAGCCCAAAGGUUCUGUUGCUCAAAAGGGUCGAUCCAGCAGAUACUAGGUCUCCGGCGAAAUAUGUUGCCACUGAUCAUGGAUCCUUGAAGCCUCCGGUGCAGGGAACACCUUGA